rnacentral:rRNA from 1 species
AACGGUAACAGGAGCAGCUUGCUGCUUCGCUGACGAGUGGCGGACGGGUGAGUAAUGUCUGGGAAACUGCCCGAUGGAGGGGGAUAACUACUGGAAACGGUAGCUAAUACCGCAUAAUGUCGCAAGACCAAAGAGGGGGACCUUCGGGCCUCUUGCCAUCGGAUGUGCCCAGAUGGGAUUAGCUUGUUGGUGAGGUAACGGCUCACCAAGGCGACCAUCCCUAGCUGGUCUGAGAGGAUGACCAGCCACACUGGAACUGAAACACGGUCCAGACUCCUACGGGAGGCAGCAGUGGGGAAUAUUGCACAAUGGGCGCAAGCCUGAUGCAGCCAUGCCGCGUGUAUGAAGAAGGCCUUCGGGUUGUAAAGUACUUUCAGCGGGGAGGAAGGGGUUAAGGUUAAUAACCUUAGCCAUUGACGUUACCCGCAGAAGAAGCACCGGCUAACUCCGUGCCAGCAGCCGCGGUAAUACCGAAGGUGCAAGCGUUAAUCGGAAUUACUGGGCGUAAAGCGCACGCAGGCGGUCUGUCAAGUCGGAUGUGAAAUCCCCGGGCUCAACCUGGGAACUGCAUUCCAAACUGGCAGGCUUGAGUCUCGUAGAGGGGGGUAGAAUUCCAGGUGUAGCGGUGAAAUG